rfam:Triticum aestivum genome assembly, contig: Triticum_aestivum_CS42_TGACv1_scaffold_515727_6BS
CUUAUACUCCCUCCGUCCGAAAAUACUUGUCAUCAAAAUGGACAAAAAGGAAUGUAUCUAGAAUUAAAAUACAUCAUCUUUUAUUCAUUUUGAUGACAAGUAUUUCCAGACGGAGGGAGUAGUUC